CAGCCGCCGCGGGAACACGGAGGGGGCUAGCGUUGUUCGGAAUUACUGGGCGUAAAGCGCACGUAGGCGGCUUGGUAAGUUAGAGGUGAAAGCCUGGAGCUCAACUCCAGAAUUGCCUUUAAGACUGCCGAGCUAGCAGGUGAGAGAGGUAAGUGGAAUUCCGAGUGUAGAGGUGAAAUGCGUAGAGAUCGGGAGGAACAUCAGUGGCGAAGGCGGCCAUCUGGGACAACACUGACGCUGAGGCACGAAAGCGUGGGGAGCAAACAGGAUUAGAUACCCCUGUAGUCCCUGUCUCUUAUAC
rnacentral:rRNA from 1 species